GUGGGGGUGCGCGUGCUACCAUGCAGUCGAGCGGUAAGGCCUUUCGGGGUACACGAGCGGCGAACGGGUGAGUAACACGUGGGUGAUCUGCCCUGCACUUCGGGAUAAGCCUGGGAAACUGGGUCUAAUACCGGAUAUGACCUCCUGUUGCAUGGUUUGUGGUGGAAAGAUUUAUCGGUGCAGGAUGGGCCCGCGGCCUAUCAGCUUGUUGGUGGGGUAAUGGCCUACCAAGGCGACGACGGGUAGCCGACCUGAGAGGGUGACCGGCCACACUGGGACUGAGACACGGCCCAGACUCCUACGGGAGGCAGCAGUGGGGAAUAUUGCACAAUGGGCGAAAGCCUGAUGCAGCGACGCCGCGUGAGGGAUGACGGCCUUCGGGUUGUAAACCUCUUUCAGCAGGGACGAAGCGCAAGUGACGGUACCUGCAGAAGAAGCACCGGCUAACUACGUGCCAGCAGCCGCGGUAAUACGUAGGGUGCAAGCGUUGUCCGGAAUUACUGGGCGUAAAGAGUUCGUAGGCGGUUUGUCGCGUCGUUUGUGAAAACCAGCAGCUCAACUGCUGGCUUGCAGGCGAUACGGGCAGACUUGAGUACUGCAGGGGAGACUGGAAUUCCUGGUGUAGCGGUGAAAUGCGCAGAUAUCAGGAGGAACACCGGUGGCGAAGGCGGGUCUCUGGGCAGUAACUGACGCUGAGGAACGAAAGCGUGGGUAGCGAACAGGAUUAGAUACCCUGGUAGUCCACGCCGUAAACGGUGGGCGCUAGGUGUGGGUUCCUUCCACGGAAUCCGUGCCGUAGCUAACGCAUUAAGCGCCCCGCCUGGGGAGUACGGCCGCAAGGCUAAAACUCAGGGAAUUUGGACGGA
rnacentral:rRNA from 1 species